UCGCGGAAAAUAAUUUCUAUUU
rnacentral:miRNA from 1 species